CAACACCGCUAUUUUACUGACCCUAACUAUAUCGUUGAAGACUCUAAGCAGGUCAGAAAACGACACAACCGCAACCAGAGGAGGCAAAUCAUCAAGGACGGAUAGGCAGACUAUGAAGGAGAAGUGGUAAGGUCAGAAGACAUACAGCUUAAACAGAAUUAUCCAGAGGAGACCGUAGCACCGAGUCAGGUGUGGAAAGAUAAGAUAACUAUACAUGAAGAGGAGGCGCUGCCGGAAGCACUGACUACGCCACCCAACGAA
rnacentral:lncRNA from 1 species